CCUACGGGAGGCUGCAGUGAGGAAUAUUGGUCAAUGGACGCAAGUCUGAACCAGCCAUGCCGCGUGCAGGAUGACGGCUCUAUGAGUUGUUAACUGCUUUUGUACGAGGGUAAACCCCGAUACGUGUAUCGGGUUGAAAGUAUCGUACGAAUAAGGAUCGGCUAACUCCGUGCCAGCAGCCGCGGUAAUACGGAGGAUCCGAGCGUUAUCCGGAUUUAUUGGGUUUAAAGGGUGCGUAGGCGGGUUGAUAAGUUAGAGGUGAAAGGUCGGGGCUCAACCCCGAAACUUCCUCUAAUACUGUUGGACUAGAGAAUAGUUGCGGUAGGCGGAAUGUAUGGUGUAGCGGUGAAAUGCUUAGAGAUCAUACAGAACACCGAUUGCGAAGGCAGCUUACCAAACUAUAUCUGACGUUGAGGCACGAAAGCGUGGGUAGCAAACAGGAUUAGAUACCCUUGUGGUC
rnacentral:rRNA from 1 species